ACCACUGCCAUGAUGAGAUUCACCAUCCUGCUGGUUCUGCUGUGCCUGUGCUCGAUGGCGAUGGCUUCUAUUUCUGACUUUCCAGCUGACCCGUUGGAGGAAUCGCCUUCAACCAUAAAAGCUGUGAGAGCUGCCUACAGGGGACACAUGAGAGUAGCAAGAGGAUUUGGAGGAGCAGGAGGAUAUGGAGGAGGAAUGGUAGGAGGAGUAGGAGCAAGAGGAC